GGACGCGAUGGAGUGGGAGAUGGCCGAUCUGGUGCCUGAAACAAAAGGGUGCUAUUUUUAUGAGUUUUUAUGAAUUAAAAUGAUGAACAGAAAGAGAACUAUAUGAUCAAUGAAGAACAGAAGCAAAUAUGACUUUUUAUGGGUUUUUAUAAUGAAUGGAAAAAUCUAGAACUAUAUGACGCAAGAUAAAACAAAAUAAGAGAAGGAUAGAGGUAUGGGGGAUGGAUCCUUGUCGCUGGAUGUGUAUCUCUCUCAACAAGAACAGUGGAUGGCGGGGGAUAGCUAUGGGAUUUGGCUUGCUGGAUGUGUAUCACUC
rnacentral:lncRNA from 1 species